AUGGGGCUCUAUGGCAUGCUAUGGGGUUUCUAUGGAGCUCUAUGGGGUCUCUAUGGGUCCCUAUGGGGCAGCUAUGGGGUCUCUAUGGGUCUCUAUGGGGUCUCUAUGGGUCUUUAUGGGUCCCUAUGGGUCUCUAUGGGUCCCUAUGGGUCUCCAUGGGUCUCUAUGUGGUCUCUAUGGGGUCUAUGGGGUCUCUGUGGGGUCUCUAUGGGUCCCUAUGGGGCAGCUAUGGGGUCUCUAUGGGGUCCCUAUGGGUCCCUAUGGGUCUCUAUGGGUCCCUAUGGGGCAGCUAUGGGGUCUCUAUGGGGUCUCUAUGGGUCUCUAUGGGUCCCUAUGGGGUUUCUAUGGGUCUCUAUGGGUCCCUAUGGGGUCUCUAUAGGGUCUCUAUGGGUCUCUAUGGGUCCCUAUGGGGUUUCUAUGGGUCUCUAUGGGUCCCUAUGGGGUCUCUAUGGGGUCUCUAUGUGGUCUCUAUGGGGCUCUAUGGCAUGCUAUGGGGUUUCUAUGGAGCUCUAUGAGGUCUCUAUGGGUCCCUAUGGGGUCUCUAUGGGUCUCUAUGGGUCUCUAUGGGUCCCUAUGGGUCCCUAUGGGGUCUCUAUGGGUCUCUAUGGGUCUCUAUGGGUCCCUAUGGGUCCCUAUGGGUCUCUAUGGGUCUUUAUGGGUCUCUAUGGGUCCCUAUGGGGUUUCUAUGGGUCUCUAUGGGUCCCUAUGGGGUCUCUAUGGGUCUCCAUGGGUCUCUAUGGGGCUUGCAGGAAAGGGGGCGUGGCCAUGGAAGUGGGCGGGGCUUUGACGUUGGUGGGCGUGGCUUCAUCUUCUGGGCUGCCUCUAUUCUGUCGAUCCAGGGGAACCCAGCCCCGAUUGCAGGUGCUGGUGGUGGGAGCGGAGGAGCUGAGCCAACAACACGGACCAGAGAGACUGAAAAGGGAACUGAGGCGCUGCUUCCCGCUGCUGGACGCUCUGAUUGGUGGAGACGUCACCUUGUCCCGCCCACUUCCGGCCACGCCCAGACCGGAAAUGGAGGUCCUCCUGCAGUCUCUAUGCUCCGCUGCUCGUUCCGGUCCCAGCUGCAUCCGGGUCCUUGGGGUCGGGGGUCCCCCGUUGGUCUCCACACCCCAAUGGCGGGCUCUGCCCCACACGGACGCCGCCAUCUUGGUUUCUCUCCUCACUUCCGGUUCCGCUCACUCGGCCAAGGAUCUGCCGGUUUUCUUGCCCACCGGAAGUCCCGCGGUGAGACCCGGAAGUGGAAGUCUAAGCCACGCCCCCCCCUUCCCUCCCACGUGACCCGGAAGUGGAUCCGCUAAGCCACGCCCCCUUCCCCUCCCCACGUGACCCGGAAGUGGAGGCGUUUAGUGCCCCCCCCCCCCCCCCGCCCCAUAAGUGAUUCCUCCAGCCCCAUAGAGCCCCAUAAGUGCCCCAUAGGGACCCAUAUAUGCUCUCCCUGCCCCAUAAGUGACGCCAUAGGCCCCACAAGUGACCCCAUAGGAACCUAUUAGUGACCCCUGCCCCAUAAGUGACCCAUAGAGCCCCAUAAGUGCCCUCCCUGCCCCAUAAGUGGCCCCAUAGAGCCCCAUAAGUGAUCUCCAGCCCCAUAAGUGAUCUCCAGCCCCAUAAGUGAUAUCCAGCCCCAUAAGUGAUAUCCAGCCCCAUAAGUGGCCCCAUAGACACCCAUAAGUGCCCCCCAGCCCCAUAACUGACCCCUCCCACCCCAUAAGUGGCCCCAUAGAGCCCCAUAAGUGAUCUCCAGCCCCAUAAGUGACCCCAUCCUGCCCCAUAAGUGCCCCAUAGAGCCCCAUAUGUGCCCCCCCUGCCCCAUAAGUGGCCCCAUAGGAACCUAUACGUGCCCCCCUGCCCCAUAAGUGGCCCCAUAGAGCCCCAUAAGUGAUAUCCAGCCCCAUAAGUGCCCCAUAGGAACCCAUAUGUGCCCCCCUGCCCCAUAAGUAACCCCAUAGGAACCCAUAAGUGCCCCAUAGAGCCCCAUAUGUGCCCCCCUGCCCCAUAAGUGGCCCCAUAGGAACCUAUAAGUGACCCCUGCCCCAUAAGUGGCCCCAUAGGAGCCCAUAAGUGCCCCAUAGAGCCCCAUAAGUGGUCACCUGCCCCAUAAGCGACCCCAUAAGUGCCUCCCUGCCCCAUAAGUCACCCCAUAGAGCCCCAUAAGGGAUCUCCAGCCCCAUAAGUGGCCCCAUAGGGCCCCAUAAGUGCCCCAUAGGAACCCAUAUGUGCCCCCCUGCCCCAUAAGUGACCCCAUAGGAACCUAUUAGUGACCCCUGCCCCAUAAGUGACC
rnacentral:lncRNA from 1 species